rnacentral:rRNA from 1 species
AUACGGAAGGUCCGGGCGUUAUCCGGAUUUAUUGGGUUUAAAGGGAGCGCAGGCCGUCGGUUAAGCGUGUUGUGAAAUGCAGAUGCCCAACAUCUGACUUGCAGCGCGAACUGGCUGACUUGAGUACGCACGACGUUGGCGGAAUUUGCCGUGUAGCGGUGAAAUGCUUAGAUAUCACGAAGAACCCCGAUUGCGAAGGCAGCUUGCGGGAGCGCAUCUGACGCUGAAGCUCGAAAGUGCGGGAAUCAAACAGGAUUAGAUACCCUGGUAGUCCGCACGGUAAACGAUGGAUGCCCGUUCUGCGGCCUUAUGGUCGCGGGACCAAGCGAAAGCAUUAAGCAUCCCACCUGGGGAGUACGCCGGCAACGGUGAA